GCUUACGGCCAUACCAACCUGGCUAUGCCCGAUCUCGUCUGAUCUCGGAAGCUAAGCAGGUUUGGGCCUGGUUAGUACUUGGAUGGGAGACCCCUGGGAAUACCAGGUGCUGUAAGCU
rnacentral:rRNA from 1 species